GUAGUGGCGAGCGAACGGGGAUUAGCCCAAACCAAUGUUGUUACGGCAAUAUUGGGGUUGUAGGACCACGAUGUCGCAAGAAGUUUAGUGAGAAGAACCCUUUGGAAAAUGGGACCAUAGACGGUGAUAGUCCGGUAUUCGAAGCUAAAUGAAGCGUAGUGGUAUCCUGAGUAGCGCGGGACACGAGGAAUCUUGCGUGAAUCUGCCGGGACCAUCCGGUAAGGCUAAAUACUCCCGAGAGACCGAUAGCGAACCAGUACUGUGAAGGAAAGGUGAAAAGCACUUCGAAUAGAAGAGUGAAAUAGUCCCUGAAACCGUGCGCCUACAAGCGGUCGGAGCUGCUUCAGCAGUGACGGCGUGCCUUUUGCAUAAUGAACCUACGAGUUACUUUUUCCGGCAAGGUUAAGGAUCUUGAGAUCCGCAGCCGAAGCGAAAGCGAGUCUUAAUAGGGCGAUUAGUCGGAAGGAGUAGACGCGAAACCAAGUGAUCUACCCUUGGUCAGGUUGAAGGUUAGGUAACACUAACUGGAGGACCGAACCGAUAAGCGUUGAAAAGCUUCCGGAUGAACUGAGGGUGGGGGUGAAAGGCUAAUCAAACUUGGAGAUAGCUCGUACUCCCCGAAAUGCAUUUAGGUGCAGCCUUGGGAAUUACUACUGUGAGGUAGAGCGACUGAUAAGAUGCGAGGGCUUCACCGCCUAUCAAGUCUUGAUAAACUCCGAAUGCGCAGUAGUUCGAUCCCAGGAGUGAGGGCAUGGGUGCUAAGGUCCAUGUCCUAAAGGAGAAGAAUCCAGACCAUCAGCUAAGGUCCCGAAAUAAUUGCUAAGUUGAACUAACGAAGUCAGAUUGCUAAGACAGCUAGGAUGUUGGCUUGGAAGCAGCCAUUCUUUUAAAGAGUGCGUAACAGCUCACUAGUCGAGGAGUUUGGCGUGGAUAAUAAUCGGGCAUUAAGCAAUUUACCGAAGCUAUGGGAUGUUAACUAAACACUAACAUCGGUAGGGGAGCAUUCCACUCUGCGUCGAAGGUGAAGCGUGAGCUUUGCUGGAGCGUGUGGAAAAGCAAAUGUAGGUAUAAGUAACGAUAAAGGGGGUGAGAAACCCCCUCGCCGAAAGGCUAAGGUUUCCUGAUCAACGCUAAUCGGAUCAGGGUUAGUCGGGUCCUAAGGCUCAGCCGAACGGUGAUCUCGAUGGAUAAUCGGUUAAUAUUCCGAUACUGACAUAUACCUCGAUGGAGAGACGAAGGAACGUAAGUGCCGCCACCUGACGGAAUAGGUGGUUAAAGGGCUUAGGUAUAGGGGCAGAUUAAGAGUUAGUCCUUGCUGAAACCUGACAGUACAGAGAGCCUACGGGCAAUUUGAUAGUGCACCCAAGUCGACUUCCGAGAAAAUCUUCUAAG
rnacentral:rRNA from 1 species